UUUAUGGAGAGUUUGAUCCUGGCUCAGGAUGAACGCUGGCGGCGUGCCUAAUACAUGCAAGUCGAGCGAACGGACGAGAAGCUUGCUUCUCUGAUGUUAGCGGCGGACGGGUGAGUAACACGUGGAUAACCUACCUAUAAGACUGGGAUAACUUCGGGAAACCGGAGCUAAUACCGGAUAAUAUUUUGAACCGCAUGGUUCAAAAGUGAAAGACGGUCUUGCUGUCACUUAUAGAUGGAUCCGCGCUGCAUUAGCUAGUUGGUAAGGUAACGGCUUACCAAGGCAACGAUGCAUAGCCGACCUGAGAGGGUGAUCGGCCACACUGGAACUGAGACACGGUCCAGACUCCUACGGGAGGCAGCAGUAGGGAAUCUUCCGCAAUGGGCGAAAGCCUGACGGAGCAACGCCGCGUGAGUGAUGAAGGUCUUCGGAUCGUAAAACUCUGUUAUUAGGGAAGAACAUAUGUGUAAGUAACUGUGCACAUCUUGACGGUACCUAAUCAGAAAGCCACGGCUAACUACGUGCCAGCAGCCGCGGUAAUACGUAGGUGGCAAGCGUUAUCCGGAAUUAUUGGGCGUAAAGCGCGCGUAGGCGGUUUUUUAAGUCUGAUGUGAAAGCCCACGGCUCAACCGUGGAGGGUCAUUGGAAACUGGAAAACUUGAGUGCAGAAGAGGAAAGUGGAAUUCCAUGUGUAGCGGUGAAAUGCGCAGAGAUAUGGAGGAACACCAGUGGCGAAGGCGACUUUCUGGUCUGUAACUGACGCUGAUGUGCGAAAGCGUGGGGAUCAAACAGGAUUAGAUACCCUGGUAGUCCACGCCGUAAACGAUGAGUGCUAAGUGUUAGGGGGUUUCCGCCCCUUAGUGCUGCAGCUAACGCAUUAAGCACUCCGCCUGGGGAGUACGACCGCAAGGUUGAAACUCAAAGGAAUUGACGGGGACCCGCACAAGCGGUGGAGCAUGUGGUUUAAUUCGAAGCAACGCGAAGAACCUUACCAAAUCUUGACAUCCUUUGACAACUCUAGAGAUAGAGCCUUCCCCUUCGGGGGACAAAGUGACAGGUGGUGCAUGGUUGUCGUCAGCUCGUGUCGUGAGAUGUUGGGUUAAGUCCCGCAACGAGCGCAACCCUUAAGCUUAGUUGCCAUCAUUAAGUUGGGCACUCUAAGUUGACUGCCGGUGACAAACCGGAGGAAGGUGGGGAUGA
rnacentral:rRNA from 1 species